CACUACCUGACUUUUUAAACUCAAUGGACUGUGAGCUCACGCUUACCUGUUUCAUUUACUUAAAGUCUAUGUGCUACUUCCCAAAGUUUUCCUACGCCAGAAUUUCCAGCCUAGGAACUGCCUGCACGAGCAAGACGCCAGUGCUCUCCUAAACCUCGAUCAGGGCACACUUCAGGCCGAACAAAGAGCCACAAAGAGAUGCUUUGGUGUCUCAUAUUCCCAUGAUGAAACUUGUUGGUGAACUUGCUAACUUGGAAACACAAGAAAGCCUCAAACCUUUCAUGUUUCUGGUGACUUUUGGCUAUGGAGACAGGACACUGACAGAGAUGUGGCUGUCUGGAAGAGGAAAAAUGAAGGCUGUGGUAGCCACCUAACAGGACUUGACAGAAUGCCAGAACAGUGAGCAUGCCGACCAGAUUGUGUGAUCAUGUUGUUUGUCUGAACUGAACCAAGAAGUAGAAGGACACAGGAGUCCUAAUUAUUGUCCAGUAGCUUCGAGAAGAUGUUCUCAGCAUGUCCAUCAUGAAAUCUUUGCAGAGAAGCCCCCAGUUGGAGCUGUAUGACAGCGGGGGUCAGGUGAACUGCACGUACUCUCUCCUGCAGGAGCAGGCGAAGUUUCCAGUGAAGGUCCCCCUUGGACGAGACCCAUUAUGAUCUCUGGCCACAGCCGCUGCCGGCCCAGCACUAUGGUUUCUCCUCCAGGAGUGGAGCAGACUGUACUGGAUCUCUGCAGAAACCUCCGCCCUUGGGCCCCAGUGCCCCAAUGCCAGGUCUCACGCCAUUACCCGCCUGUGAGCAGGCCAGGGACACUGGGUUGAAGGGUCAGCUGGGCUUGCCACUGAUCACUUUAGCCCAACCAGGCCAUCUCCAUGGCAAUGCACGGUCACACCACAGAUGGACAAACCUUCCUCCCAAUCCCCCAAUAAACAGUUUUUAGGUCACUCUGCAGCCCUCGGAAUCUCCUGACCUUUUUGGUGGCAGAUGAGGUCCUGGCUUCAUCUGCGCAUCAGCAGCACACUGCCCAAAUCUAAGAAGAGGAUCAAGAUGCUGCACAACCCCCAAAUCUCCAGCUUCUUCAUUCAAACAGCUGAUUUAUUUCAGAUGGUUUUCUCUUAUACACAGAAAGGAUCAUCUUUUUUUUUUUUAAAUAAAAUAACUUGAAAAUUUUAAUUCCUAUUAUAA